CACCAAAUAUUAAACCCUAGCCCUGGAAACCAACCUCCAAAUCAUUCUCUAAGAACAAGAUAAUUUAUCUCCCACUUCGAGCCUGUGGUCCCACCCCUCCUGUCUAGACAUCCAAGAGCUGGUGGCCCCUGUCCCUAGUCCAGGUCUCAGCCUUUAUCUCCCGGUGGCCACUUAUUCCUUCACAACCAAGAUCUAAAUUUGUGAUUAAUCCAGUUGGUUGGGCUUGGUGGCCUGAGGAGCUUUGGGGAAGGAGGGACUGGGCACCCCAACCUCAAGUGGCAAAGGGUAUCUUCUGGAGUCCCUGUCAGCUCCGCUCUCUACACGCCCCACACACAUUCAGUCACAGCCUCGAGUUCAAAAGUGAAUUUAAACUCAAAGAAGCCUGGGGACAGGGACAAGGGUACUUCUGUCAUUCAUUCUCUUCCCCUGCUUCCUUGGGGACAAGGGUGGCCUGGAGGAACAAUAGUGUCCCCUGGCCCCUUCUUCCUGCAUUGGGUUAGAAAAGGCAACAGAAAGCAGUGGGGAUGACAAAGACACACACACACACACACACACACACACACACACACGCAAGCGAGGUUUGAGAAGGGAGGAGGAGGAGGCUCAGGCGGUUCGGACAGACUGUUAUUUUGGUGGUGGGCAUGGUCCCAGAUAGGGGCAGCGUCCCCCUUUUUUCCCCUGGCUUUCCAGGGAGAGCAGCAAGAGAAAGAAAGAAGCAAACGAAAUUCCUGAAUGGAUAAGAGAUGCUACGUCAGCGGUACUGGAGCCGCAUCCUCCACUCCAUAAGAAGAGAAGAGCUAGGAGAGACCAGCGGGCGGCAGCGGCGGCGUGUGGCCUCUCCGAGCGCAGCACAGAGGCAAGAAGCAGCCAGCCAGCCAGAAGCAGCCUCCCGGUUCGGUUUGUUUGGAUGUCAUCAUAGGUGGCCGGCAUCUCUGGUUUUGGGCUUCUCCCCUGGGCGGGUGGGUGCUCCACCCUCCCGCCCACUCUCUGAGGACAUGAGGACCAUGGUAUCCAGCACCACGGACAGCUCCCAGUGCAGGUUCUCUGAAUGCCUAGUUCAUGCGCAUGCGCGUGGCUGGAGGAGACUCCCAUGGCCUUGCAGAGGGAGUGAUCUAGUGGGAAAGCAGACGUCAACCACCCAGGCCUGUGGUUUCCCUGCAACAAGCCCAGUGGCUUUCUGGAGGAUACUUUUCCUGGAGGAAAGCAGUGAUUCAAGAUAUUCAGGACUUUGGGUUUGGGGUAAGUAGUGGGAAAUAUCAAGGAAGUAAGAAAGAACAUGGUAUAUUUGGGGACUCGCCUGACCCUCAAAGGAAGCAGAGCCUUGGAUGCUGAAGCAGAGAAGCUGGCUUAAUGGUCUCGGGGUUUAAGGAAGUCAGCCAUGAGCUCAGAGAUGCUAGGGCAUGGCACUUUGCUGGGUGGCACUGCAUAACGUGUGGGAGGUUCACAUGUACACAACCGACUGGUUUCUGAGCACUCACAUUUAAAAGCAAAAAGGUUUGAAGAAGUCAGGUACUGCAAGGCCAGAUGGUACUAGAAUGGAGACAGGGAGGAAGUUCUACUUAGAAACUUCCUGGAAGGGAGAGGGUGGGGUGGCAGGCAUGGGGAGGGGGGAGGCAACAGGGGUUUGUUCUUGUUGUUUUUGUUUGUUUGUUUGUUUGGAGGGGAAACUGGGAAAGGAGAAAUUUACAUGUAAAUAAAGAAAAUAUCUAAUUAAAAAAAAAAAGAAAGAAAGAAACUUCCUGGAAGAAGGAAGGGGAUGAUAAGAACAGGGAGAGGGAUCCAGGGCUUAGUCUGAGGGGAUUCUGUGAGAGCAACUGAGGUAGGGAGGAGAGGCCUUGCCACUGGUCCCCAGGCUGCAAUGUAAACAACAUGCCAGGCUUUACACAAAGGCUUCUCUGUAAGUGGCCUUAGCAGUGGCUGUCAGGUGAGGGGACUUAGCUCCUAGGGCCUUCAGGGUAUUGAGGGUAGGGCUGGAUCAGACUUCAGCAAGUCCACAUCAAAAGAAAGAAUCUAGGCCUGGCUAGAGUCUCCCUUAGAGGCUGUGUAGAGCUGGUCCCAGGCCAGGCUCCUUUCCACUGUCCAGUCAGGCCCCCAGGUCUAGGCCCAGCCUCUGCCUACCUCCUAUUCUUCCAGUUGUGCUUCCUGAGCCUUCUAGCUUAUCCUUUCCCAGUCCACACAUGCCCUCCCAGGCUAUGAAUCUGGUCUCACUGGUAUCACAGGGAACCUCUUACCCUGAGGAUUGUAUUGGGAAGGAGGGAAAGAGCACUGACCAGAGGCAAAAAGGUGUCUGGGGGUAGGGGUGGGUCGCUGUUUCAACCACUCUGCUCUCCAUCUUCUUCAGCACAAGUUCUUGCCUGGCCUUCCUUGAUGGUCUCUUCCUGCUGAUCAGCAGAGACCACCUCCCUCAUCACCAGGCCCUUGCUGCCUACCCUUCUAACUGUGCUUUAAACAGUAGAAUGACUGUCCGUCAAGGGCUCAGUCUACAGGAGGGACAACAAAAGACAGGGUUAGUGCUGGACAGACUGGACAGGGUAACAUUCUGGCUCUCUUCUCUUGCUAGUUGGAGGAGUGGAGAGGCGAGUUAUUAGUGCCUUUGGGCUUUGACUUCUAUAGCCUUUUGUAGGGUGGGGUGCAAAUGUCCAGUGUUCAGUGCUGAAUGCUGAGGGACACAGUAAGAGGAGGCCGGUAGAACUGGAGGGACAGUUUCCCAGAAGCCUGGACUUUGGGCCGGCAGCUGGGGAGAGCUAGGCUCUUGUCUAGUGACCGACCAGAGCUGCCUGGGUCUCAGGUCUGAGGUCUUACAGGGUGGUAGUGCUAUUGUUGGUAUUAGUGAUGCAUUCUGCUGAGGCUCUCUCCCAAACUGCCUACAGCUGACCCUGUUCCUUCCCUCAGCCCCUUUCCUUUUUCUCCAGAGCAGCAUAACCCAGGCUCUAUGGAAUGUUCGGUGAGAUGCUUGAGGAUCUACAAGGCCUGCCCCACAGUCUUGCAGCCUCUGACUCUCGGGCCCCUUGGCAUGGUCAGCAGUGAGCUACUUUUGGAUCUCUUGGGAGCCCUGAGUCAGUGGUCCAGGGAGACUCUGAACAGGGAGGUCUUUUGUCAUGACAUGGUUGUCCCUUGUUGUGCAAACAAGAGUCAGGGGAGAAAUGACAUUGGCUUUAGCCCCCUGCCAGCAGCACCAGGGCCUCCAGGAACUGGAGGGAAGGACCAGGCUAAGGCUGGCAUAUGGAAGAGAGCGUGAGUACGUUGAAGUUUCACCUGCUAGGGCUGCCUUCUGCUGGGCUGUCCAUCUGGCACCAGCUGGCAUACCAGCUCCACCCGCACAGCCAACCAGACUCCUUCUGCUGUUGCUAUGACAAUUGGCUGCCAUCUUGGUACUUAGGGCACUACCUACCGUCUCUCUGACUUUUCCUGUGGGGCUCCUGAAGGACAGAAAACAGAGCCUCGAAAUUUCAUACCAGAGCCAGUCAGUGGUGGCACACAUCUUUAAUUCCAGCACUCAGGAAGCAGAGGCGGAUGGAUCUCUGUGAGUUAGAGGCUAGCCUAGUCUAUAGAGCAAGUUCCAGGACAGCCAGGGCUAUCCAAAACAAAAAACAAAACAAAACAAAACAAAAAACCUGUCUCAAAAGAAAAAUUCUUAUCAGUAUUCAGUUUUCAAACAUGGCCAGGCAAGUGAAGCAGGAUGACUCGAACCUGGAAUCACAGUACCUGGAAGAGUGGUGACUUUGAGGCCAGCCUGGGGCAGAGAGUAAGGCCCUGGUCUUGGGUAUGAUGACCCAUGCCUUUAUUCCCAGCUCUUGAAAGACAGAGGCAGGAGGAUCUCUAUGAGUUCAAUACCAGCCUGGUCCACGUAGCAAGUUUCAGAUCAGCUAGGUCUACAUAGUGAGACUCCAUCUCAAACAAAAUAAAGCCAAAUUAAUUAGUCACCAUGGCUAGCUCAGUGGGUGGAGUGCUUGUUUAGCAUGCACAGGUCCCUGGGUUCCACCCUCAGUACCACACAGACUGUAUUUUGUGGCACGUAAUCUCAGCACUCAGGAGGCUGAGGCAGAUGAACCACUACAGUUUUAAGGCCUGCCUGGGCUAUAUCUCCAAGGACGUAAAAUGGCGACAGCCAAACUAGGCCACUAGGUCCAGCUCCAUGCUAUGCUCUCUCUACUCCGUGUCUAAGAAAGAAUCAGUGAGAUAGAGUUGAAGAAGUUCAGAUCCUGUUUCUGGGUUGGGACUGGAGCUCAGUGCUAGGGAAGGGGUAGGGGUUGGGGGGCUUGGGAGAGCAGAUCCUGUUUCCUGCUUCUGACAGACUUUUCCUCAUUCUGAUCAGGAAGUCCCACUGUUUUUCUCAUUCCUGUCUUGGGAGCCUUCCCCAACCCUAUAGUGAAGAUGGGCGGAGCUGCCACACCAGCUGUUAGCAUGCCAUGGCUGAGAGGAGAGGCAGCAAGGAGGGAGUGAGCACCCAGCUUUAAUUGUUUUAAAGCAGUUCCUGACCCUAGGAGAAGGGAAGUGGAACCAGAGACUGGGUUGACUUGGUAUGACAUUUAAGUGCCCCUUAGAGACUUGGGGGUCAAGGACAGUGAGGUGACUCAGUGGGUAGACUCACUUGCCUCUAAGCCUGACAACCUAAGUUAAUACCCACCACCCACAUAUGGAAGAAAAAAACUGAUUUCCAAACGUCGUCCUCUGACCUCCACACAUACACCAUGGCCUGUGCACUGCCUCCCCCCCCAAAAUGUAAUACAUUUUUUAAAAAGACAUGGGGACUUCCAUUCAGUGUCUCCCAUGUUUUGGGGUUUCCUUUCCUUAUUCCCUAUCAGUGCCCUAGCACAGGCAGAGCAAGUCUAACUACAGAGAGAUCUUCCUCUAGGCUGGUUGGUGGAACCUUAAAAGGCUCCAACUGGUCCCCGAGAGUCCCAGUUUCUUCUCUCACACAACAGAAGGUGGUUGGAAGAGCGCAUUGGUGCUGAGGGGGCCAGCUGGUUGAGAAGCAGGUGGAGAGGGAAUGGACCCUGCUUAAGAGGGGGCUGGGUGGGAAGGCUGGGUAAUUUAUGAUAUCAUUGUUCCCGCCCCUCUUCCCGGACCCCUGCCACUUUACUGUUGCUAGGAGAUCCUAGCUGGCCCUGUCAUCUGGAAUACUCCUCCCCAGCCAGGCGUAGGCCCUACUCUGAGUCACAUCAGACCCUGGCACACACCAGUGUCUCCCGUGGAUCCCUCCAGGUUCAGCCAGCUUGGAAGUGGGACUACCUGUCAGAGCAAGUGUGGGGGUGGUGAUAUGGAGGGCAAUAGACUUUGGUGGAGCACACUGAAGGCCUGCAGGUGGACCUGGGAACCAAACCUGGAAGAACCCAAGUUAAUAAAUGCAAUCCUUAUCUUAGAGAGAGGGGGCUUUCAGCAGACUGAUCUAACACACAGACUUCUCAGCCCACUCCCUCCAGUCAAGGUUAAGGCCUGGCAAAGGUGGGGGUGGGGGAAGAGAGAAACUGAGGAGAAAAAGGCUGAGGAGAGUCAGGCACACGGGAAGGUGACCAUGAGUAGAGUUGGGUGGCCCAGGGAUGUGGCCGAGAUUCCCUCUUCUUUCUGGAGUUCUCUUAGACAAUAAGGCUGAAGAGAAAGUUGGUACAGGAACGCUGAAGGUUUCUCAAGCUGCAGGCUAGGGGCACUGUGCUUCUCAGCAUUGGCCUUGACUUGGCUCCCACAGGCUUUUGUCUCAGUUUAUCUGCCCUGGCUGAAACCCAAAUGAUUCUGUCCCCAGCUCCAUAAGAGCAAUCAGAGAUCCCUUGGGAGUCCCAGUCUGCUCCCCAGAGGCACCCUCUUGUUUUGUGCUCCACACAGGGCUCCCUCCCUCCGAAUGCUGAUUUCCUAUGGACCAGAUUCCAGCACAGUGGAGAACCAGAGCUCAGGGAACAGACCCAGCAGCACAGGAAAUCUCCAAGGGAAGCUCUACCGGUUUCCAGAGGCUGAAGGCAAAGACUGGAGAAGAGGCUAGGCAGGCUGCAGACGUCAAAUGCUCCCAGGAUGCUGUCUAGCAAGCAUCUGUCUGCCUGUCUUCGUAAGCAAGUUUCCUGGGCUCCAGCCCCAGAUCGAAGCCUCAUCCUGCCCUCUGUGCUCUGGGAUGGCCCAGGGGAGAUGCUUAGCCUUGGCUCCUUGUCUGCUGGUGGAGGGGACAGACACCUUUCUGGACCACAGACCAAAAAGAAGACCUGGCCUCACCCUGAGCACCCCUGCCAUGCAAAGUGUGUUCCCAAACUGCCACCGAGCUGGCUCCAGCAAGCAGAAGUAGACAGAAGUGGAGGUUCAGCCUGGCAGCUUCUCCCCAAAGCCAUGAAGAGCAAGCCUUACCUCCCUGGUUACUUCCAGCAACUUGUCCAGCCUGACCCAUCUAUAUCCCCUGUUGCCUCUCAGAUGGGUCCCCAAGACCCACCCCAUCUCCAAUAAAGAACAUUGCAUACUGAG